rnacentral:rRNA from 1 species
GAUGAACGCUAGCGGCAGGCUUAACACAUGCAAGUCGAGCGGCAGCACGGGUACUUGUACCUGGUGGCGAGCGGCGGACGGGUGAGUAAUGCCUAGGAAUCUGCCUGGUAGUGGGGGAUAACGCUCGGAAACGGACGCUAAUACCGCAUACGUCCUACGGGAGAAAGCAGGGGACCUUCGGGCCUUGCGCUAUCAGAUGA